UAUAGUUAGAAGCAGAGCAAAAAUUAAUAAUAUUUUGCCUAGAUAAACCCAAUUAUGAAAAAAUGAUAAAGUUUCUAAUUAUAGACCCGAAGACUAGUGAUCUUACUAUGAUCAGGAUUAUAAAAGUCCGAACGGGUUAUCGUGGUAAAGAUAUCCGAAGAAUCAUUGUAAGUUCGUGAAAGACAAAACAGACUAGUAUAGCUGG
rnacentral:ncRNA from 1 species